rnacentral:rRNA from 1 species
GAUGAACGCUGGCGGCGUGCUUAACACAUGCAAGUCGAACGGUGAAGGCGGAGCUUGCUCUGCUGGAUCAGUGGCGAACGGGUGAGUAACACGUGAGCAAUCUGCCCCUGACUCUGGGAUAAGCGCUGGAAACGGCGUCUAAUACUGGAUACGAGCUGCGAAGGCAUCUUCAGCAGCUGGAAAGAAUUUCGGUCAGGGAUGAGCUCGCGGCCUAUCAGCUUGUUGGUGAGGUAAUGGCUCACCAAGGCGUCGACGGGUAGCCGGCCUGAGAGGGUGACCGGCCACACUGGGACUGAGACACGGCCCAGACUCCUACGGGAGGCAGCAGUGGGGAAUAUUGCACAAUGGGCGAGAGCCUGAUGCAGCAACGCCGCGUGAGGGACGACGGCCUUCGGGUUGUAAACCUCUUUUAGCAGGGAAGAAGCGAAAGUGACGGUACCUGCAGAAAAAGCGCCGGCUAACUACGUG